CAGAGAGCACUACAUACCAAUGUCCUCUGUCUGCAGAGCAGAGGAGCCCGGACAGCAGCCAUCUUGCGCAGCGCACAGUGGCAGCGCUUCAUCUCUGCCCUGGGAGGCCCACUUCUCAGGAUGAGAGGAUAAUUCACUCACUAUAGCCCAUUCAAUCUUCAGCCUCU
rnacentral:sRNA from 1 species